CAACAGAAGAAGCACCGGCUAACUUCGUCCCAGCAGCCGCGGUAAUACGGAGGGUGCGAGCGUUAAUCGGAAUUACUGGGCGUAAAGCGCACGCAGGCGGUUUGUUAAGCUAGAUGUGAAAGCCCCGGGCUCAACCUGGGAUGGUCAUUUAGAACUGGCAGACUAGAGUCUUGGAGAGGGGAGUGGAAUUCCAGGUGUAGCGGUGAAAUGCGUAGAGAUCUGGAGGAACAUCAGUGGCGAAGGCGACUCCCUGGCCAAAGACUGACGCUCAUGUGCGAAAGUGUGGGUAGCGAACAGGAUUAGAUACCCUGGUAGUCCACACCGUAAACGCUGUCUACUAGCUGUGUGUGUAUUUUAUACGUGCGUAGCGAAGCUAACGCGCUAAGUAGACCGCCUGGGGAGUACGGCCGCAAGGUUAGAAACUCAAAUGAAUUGACGGGGGCCCGCACAAGCGGUGGAGCAUGUGGUUUAAUUCGAUGCAACGCGAAGAACCUUACCUACACUUGACAUGCAGAGAACUUUCUAGAGAUAGAUUGGUGCCUUCGGGAACUCUGACACAGGUGCUGCAUGGCUGUCGUCAGCUCGUGUCGUGAGAUGUUGGGUUAAGUCCCGCAACGAGCGCAACCCUUGUCCUUAGUUGCCAGCCUUAAGUUGGGCACUCUAAGGAGACUGCCGGUGACAAACCGGAGGAAGGUGGGGACGACGUCAAGUCAUCAUGGCCCUUACGUGUAGGGCUACACACGUGCUACAAUGGCAAGUACAGAGGGAAGCGAGACAGUGAUGUGGAGCGGACCCCUUAAAGCUUGU
rnacentral:rRNA from 1 species